UACGAGGGGGGCGAGCGUUGUUCGGAAUUAUUGGGCGUAAAGGGUGCGUAGGCGGUUUGGUAAGUCUGAUGUGAAAUCUAUGGGCUCAACUCAUAGUCUGCAUCGGAAACUGCCGGGCUUGAGUAUGGGAGAGGUGAGUGGAAUUCCUGGUGUAGCGGUGAAAAUGCGUAGAUAUCGGGGAGGAACUCAGUGGGCGAAGGCGACCGCCUGGCCCCAACACUGACGCUGAGGUGCGAAAAGCGUGGGUAGCAAACAGG
rnacentral:rRNA from 1 species